ACUGAGGCUGGGGCGGCUCUCGUCGACGACGAGCCGCGGGUGCCUUCUGCCGGUGGUGCCCGGGCAAUGGGGUGGAGCAGGUACCUCGCCGGUGCGGCACCUCGACGAGGCGUGGGCGCCACCGCGCCAGGCGGGGCAGCAGACGCAUCCUCAAGGCUGCGAUGCGACGGAUCCCGGUUGCCAGCGCGGCCUCCUCGACUCCUUGUUUCUAUCGUGCUGUGCGGACUGCGCGUGCACCUCCGCUUCAUCGGUCGAGCUGAGCAUCAGCUUGGCGUUGGUUACUUGAGGAUGGGGCGACUCUGCGGUGCCUUGAGCAUCUGGCUGUCCAGAAAAUACAUCCAAGAGAGAUUCGUUAUAUAAGCCGAACGGUGGAAAAACAUGUUAGCCAAAUUGAGGAACGAGAGUACUCUAUCCUGCUUGUGAUGA